rnacentral:rRNA from 1 species
AGAGUUUGAUCCUGGCUCAGGACGAACGCUGGCGGCGUGCCUAAUACAUGCAAGUCGAACGCUUCUUUUUCCACCGGAGCUUGCUCCACCGGAAAAAGAGGAGUGGCGAACGGGUGAGUAACACGUGGGUAACCUGCCCAUCAGAAGGGGAUAACACUUGGAAACAGGUGCUAAUACCGUAUAACAAUCGAAACCGCAUGGUUUCGAUUUGAAAGGCGCUUUCGGGUGUCGCUGAUGGAUGGACCCGCGGUGCAUUAGCUAGUUGGUGAGGUAACGGCUCACCAAGGCGACGAUGCAUAGCCGACCUGAGAGGGUGAUCGGCCACAUUGGGACUGAGACACGGCCCAAACUCCUACGGGAGGCAGCAGUAGGGAAUCUUCGGCAAUGGACGAAAGUCUGACCGAGCAACGCCGCGUGAGUGAAGAAGGUUUUCGGAUCGUAAAACUCUGUUGUUAGAGAAGAACAAGGAUGAGAGUAACUGUUCAUCCCUUGACGGUAUCUAACCAGAAAGCCACGGCUAACUACGUGCCAGCAGCCGCGGUAAUACGUAGGUGGCAAGCGUUGUCCGGAUUUAUUGGGCGUAAAGCGAGCGCAGGCGGUUUCUUAAGUCUGAUGUGAAAGCCCCCGGCUCAACCGGGGAGGGUCAUUGGAAACUGGGAGACUUGAGUGCAGAAGAGGAGAGUGGAAUUCCAUGUGUAGCGGUGAAAUGCGUAGAUAUAUGGAGGAACACCAGUGGCGAAGGCGGCUCUCUGGUCUGUAACUGACGCUGAGGCUCGAAAGCGUGGGGAGCAAACAGGAUUAGAUACCCUGGUAGUCCACGCCGUAAACGAUGAGUGCUAAGUGUUGGAGGGUUUCCGCCCUUCAGUGCUGCAGCUAACGCAUUAAGCACUCCGCCUGGGGAGUACGACCGCAAGGUUGAAACUCAAAGGAAUUGACGGGGGCCCGCACAAGCGGUGGAGCAUGUGGUUUAAUUCGAAGCAACGCGAAGAACCUUACCAGGUCUUGACAUCCUUUGACCACUCUAGAGAUAGAGCUUCCCCUUCGGGGGCAAAGUGACAGGUGGUGCAUGGUUGUCGUCAGCUCGUGUCGUGAGAUGUUGGGUUAAGUCCCGCAACGAGCGCAACCCUUAUUGUUAGUUGCCAUCAUUUAGUUGGGCACUCUAGCAAGACUGCCGGUGACAAACCGGAGGAAGGUGGGGAUGACGUCAAAUCAUCAUGCCCCUUAUGACCUGGGCUACACACGUGCUACAAUGGGAAGUACAACGAGUCGCAAAGUCGCGAGGCUAAGCUAAUCUCUUAAAGCUUCUCUCAGUUCGGAUUGUAGGCUGCAACUCGCCUACAUGAAGCCGGAAUCGCUAGUAAUCGCGGAUCAGCACGCCGCGGUGAAUACGUUCCCGGGCCUUGUACACACCGCCCGUCACACCACGAGAGUUUGUAACACCCGAAGUCGGUGAGGUAACCUUUUGGAGCCAGCCGCCUAAGGUGGGAUAGAUGAUUGGGGUGAAGUCGUAACAAGGUAGCCGUAUCGGAAGGUGCGGCUG